rnacentral:rRNA from 1 species
GAUUUCCCAUAGCGUCAAGCUAGUAAGAUCCCUGAAAGAUGAUCAGGUUGAUAGGUCAGAGGUGGAAGCGUGGUGACAUGUGGAGCUGACUGAUACUAAUCGAUCGAGGACUUAACCAA